UUUAGCCAACUGCGGGUGACCCAUCCGUCCUGCUUUAGGAGGAUUGGGCCCAGGGAUGCCGGCGCAAAGCUGACUUGGUCUACUCUUCCCGAUUUAACGGACCGAUCGCUUCUGGAGAUUGUGGGAACCAGGCCUCGAAGCCGGAGCCGGGGAAGGGCGACUCCCGGAACACAGGCGGCGGGGGCGGCCGAAGGCAGUAGAGGGAAGCGGGGAGAGGCAAGGAGGAAAGAGGAGCAACGUUUGAAUCGACUGGGGAAAAGGCGACUAGCGAUUCAGGCGUUUCUCCGAGUCCCCGGCUUCUCCCUCCCCUGGUCGAGCAGAAGAUAGAAUAAAAGGAACUUGUCUGAAUGUUGGCGGAGCCGGCAGAGCUGGGAAUCUGGGCCAAAUGUUUUAAAGGUCCCGUCCACACCCAGGAGACAUCUGUGUCUUGGUGCCCAGCGGAGAAUGAAGACAAAGUUUUCCACAUCGUACUAGGGAAAUGAAGAAGUGAAGAUUAUCGACUCCUGUCCAACUCGCCUCUGUGAAAAUCGUCCCUGAGGACUCCCGAGCUUUGCUCGUUUUAUGAGUUCCAUCAAAAUCUAGUCAGGAGUUUGGUCAUUUGCAGUCUCCAAUAGGAUUUGACUGUCCUAACCAACUCCAAGGCUUCGGUGGUUUUCAGAUCCAUCAGAAUCUGGUUUACGUUUUAGCCCGGACAAAUUUUAUCAUUGCAUAAAUAAUUUCUCUCUGCAGCAGGCAGCUUGGGAAAUCGUCACCAUGCGAAAAGACUUUCAGCCAUGAUUAGGUCAAUAGGUGUCCGUCUGAGUAAUUGAAUCUGGAGCAUUUUUCAUUUUAUUUUACGAGAUGAGAUCUGAGGAAUUUAGGGAGCAUUUGUUUGUAAAAAUCCCAUCAGAUAAAAAGUUAAUCGCUA